rnacentral:rRNA from 1 species
UACGGGGGGAGCAAGCGUUGUUCGGAUUUACUGGGCGUAAAGGGCGCGUAGGCGGCCUGUUAAGUCGGACGUGAAAUCCCUCGGCUCAACCGGGGAACUGCGUCCGAUACUGGCGGGCUUGAAUUCGGGAGAGGGAUGUGGAAUUCCAGGUGUAGCGGUGAAAUGCGUAGAUAUCUGGAGGAACACCGGUGGCGAAGGCGGCAUCCUGGACCGACAUUGACGCUGAGGCGCGAAAGCCAGGGGAGCAAACGGG